UACGAAGGGGGCUAGCGUUGUUCGGAUUUACUGGGCGUAAAGCGCACGUAGGCGGAUCGUUAAGUCGGGGGUGAAAUCCUGGAGCUCAACUCCAGAACUGCCUUCGAUACUGGCGAUCUUGAGUCCGGAAGAGGUGAGUGGAACUCCUAGUGUAGAGGUGGAAUUCGUAGAUAUUAGGAAGAACACCAGUGGCGAAGGCGGCUCACUGGCCCGGUACUGACGCUGAUGUGCGAAAGCGUGGGGAGCAAACAGG
rnacentral:rRNA from 1 species